rnacentral:rRNA from 1 species
AGUGAACGCUGGCGGUAGGCCUAACACAUGCAAGUCGAACGGCAGCACAGUAAGAGCUUGCUCUUACGGGUGGCGAGUGGCGGACGGGUGAGGAGUACAUCGGAAUCUACUUUUUCGUGGGGGAUAACGUAGGGAAACUUACGCUAAUACCGCAUACGACCUACGGGUGAAAGCAGGGGAUCUUCGGACCUUGCGCGAUUGAAUGAGCCGAUGUCGGAUUAGCUAGUUGGCGGGGUAAAGGCCCACCAAGGCGACGAUCCGUAGCUGGUCUGAGAGGAUGAUCAGCCACACUGGAACUGAGACACGGUCCAGACUCCUACGGGAGGCAGAAGUGGGGAAUAUUGGACAAUGGGCGCAAGCCUGAUCCAGCCAUACCGCGUGGGUGAAGAAGGCCCUCGGGUUGUAAAGCCCUUUUGUUGGGAAAGAAAAGCAGCAGGUUAAUACCCCGCUGUUCUGACGGUACCCAAAGAAUAAGCACCGGCUAACUUCGUG